GCAAUAAAACAAAACACUAACUGUGGAACUCCAUAGGUCUGGACAUGAAUCCUAGCUCUAUUGCUUACCAGCUGUAGAAUGUGGGUAAAUUACUUUCACCACUCUGAGCAUCAAUUCCUUCUCCUGUAAAAUGGGAUAAUACCCACUUUAUAGAUUAUCAUGAAGAGUAAAUGACACAUAUGAAGAGUCUGAUACAUAAUGGAUGCUCAUUAAAUCAAGAAGAAAAAGAAAGAGAGAGAGAGAAAAGGGUUGUGUUUCAGGAAGAGUUGAUAUCCCUGGACUCCAGCUAGAUAAGGAAGAUGCCAGAGAGAGAGGGGGUAAGGUGUCUGAAGGUGAGCUGCGAAGCAAACCAAGGACAGUGCCAUGCGGGACCCCGACAGAGCCAUGCUGAUUCUAAAGACUGAUUCUGGGACUAGAGAAGAAACUGCCCGAUUCUGCCUUUCCUCCCUCCCCAUCCCCCCCUUGUCAGAGUUGAAUAAAUAAAGAA
rnacentral:lncRNA from 1 species